CAAGGCCUAUGAUGAUCAACUAGUAUAUUUUUGCCUACAUUGCAUGAUUAGUUUGUGAUAAAAAAAAAACAUGGUAUUCUGAGGCCUUG